rnacentral:rRNA from 1 species
GACGAACGCUGGCGGCGUGCCUAAUACAUGCAAGUAGAACGCUGAAGGAGGAGCUUGCUUCUCUGGAUGAGUUGCGAACGGGUGAGUAACGCGUAGGUAACCUGCCUGGUAGCGGGGGAUAACUAUUGGAAACGAUAGCUAAUACCGCAUAAGAGUAGAUGUUGCAUGACAUUUGCUUAAAAGGUGCAAUUGCAUCACUACCAGAUGGACCUGCGUUGUAUUAGCUAGUUGGUGAGGUAACGGCUCACCAAGGCAACGAUACAUAGCCGACCUGAGAGGGUGAUCGGCCACACUGGGACUGAGACACGGCCCAGACUCCUACGGGAGGCAGCAGUAGGGAAUCUUCGGCAAUAGACGGAAGUCUGACCGAGCAACGCCGCGUGAGUGAAGAAGGUUUUCGGAUCGUAAAGCUCUGUUGUAAGAGAAGAACGAGUGUGAGAGUGGAAAGUUCACACUGUGACGGUAUCUUACCAGAAAGGGACGGCUAACUACGUG